AACGAACGCUGGCGGCAUGCCUAACACAUGCAAGUCGAACGAGACCUUCGGGUCUAGUGGCGCACGGGUGCGUAACGCGUGGGAACCUUCCCUUAGGUUCGGAAUAACUCCCCGAAAGGGGUGCUAAUACCGGAUAAUUUCUUCGGACCAAAGAUUUAUCGCCUUUGGAUGGGCCCGCGUUGGAUUAGCUAGUUGGUAGGGUAAAAGCCUACCAAGGCGACGAUCCAUAGCUGGUCUGAGAGGAUGAUCAGCCACACUGGGACUGAGACACGGCCCAGACUCCUACGGGAGGAAGCAGUGGGGAAUAUUGGACAAUGGGCGAAAGCCUGAUCCAGCAAUGCCGCGUGAGUGAUGAAGGCCUUAGGGUUGUAAAGCUCUUUUAACCGGGAUGAUAAUGACAGUACCGGGAGAAUAAGCUCCGGCUAACUCCGUG
rnacentral:rRNA from 1 species